rnacentral:rRNA from 1 species
CCCUUAGAUGUUCUGGGCUGCACACGUGCUACACUGGCAGGUUCAGCGAGCUUCAUGCCCUGAUCUGAAAGGAAUGGGAAAUCUUUUCAAAACCUGCCGUGCUUGGGAUAGAUGUUUGCAAUUAUUCAUCUUCAACGAGGAUUGCCUUGUAAGCGCACGUCAUCAGCGUGCAUUGAAUACGACCCUGUAUUCUGUACACACCGACCGUCGCUCCUACCGAUUGAAGUUUUCGGUGAGUUGACAGGAGGAUUUUUUUGAAACUGGUUCGCCAGUGGAUUUUAGAUCCAAAUGCCAACGAAUCGAUGGCUUUAGAGGAAGGAGAAGUCGUAACA